AACAAAAUAACUUUUUUUUGAAAGACAUUAAUCUAAAUAGAGACUUGAAAUAGAUGUGAAAAAAAAUUGUGCAUUUUGGGGAAGAAAAUCAUAGAACAGCAAAAUUGAGAUCAAAGGAGCGUUGAGAAGUUGAAGGAGUGAGGUGAGGAUGAAAGCUUCAGAGCUUUCGUCUCCAUCGAAUACUGUGGAAUGCAAGGAAAGACCCCAAAAGCCCCCCUUCAGGCCUGCUAAAGAUGACACCAAGCUUCUUCUCCAAGAUCCGAUACGGAGGUCAGAUCCAAUUGAGACUGAGGAAGCCGUGCUCCGACCACCUCCUUUCCAUUUCUCUCUCCCCAAAUCUAAGAACCCUUCUCAAAUGGGGUGACAGAAAAUGUUGAUUUCUUCUUAUUUUGGUUUUAUGUCUGUUCUUGUUGAUCGCGUUGUGGAAUAUCGAAUUUUUAAUGAAAAUAGAAAUCCAUUUGGUUUCUACGCUUUAUGUCUUUCUGCUCUAGUCGACACUGUGAAUACAAUACCCACCAUUCACUUGAAUCAAAUUCAGCUUCCAAGUUUUGUUAUCCAUUUUUACUGUUAUGUAUUAGCUCGUGCGUCCCAAGUAUUCGACGAAAUGCCUAAGUGGGAAGUAAGCUUUGAGACGACAAAUUGUCUGUUUGCACUGAUGAAGAGAACCACGAGAGGCUUCUGGAUCAUUUAGUGCUGAGUCCAAUCUCCAUAGCCAAAUAAUAGAAGAUACAGGUACGCCGUACGCUCACACUAUCUAUAUAUCCUCUUGCUUUCACUCGGCUAAUUUCAAGAUGCAAAAUUUAAGGCGUUUGUAUGUUUUUACACGGAUGAAUUUCCUUUACUUUGAAAUGGAUUUACAGUUUGGUUCAAGCCAAGCGUCCAAUUGUCCAUGUUUAGAACUCUACUACACAGUUGUUCACCGAACAAAAAUCCUAUUCAAUUAAGGUUGUUUGAUGCAAGCUGAUCUAAGUUGAUGUAAUACAAGUGAGUUCAAUGACAGAGGUCAGCCAAAUUUAGUUGAUCUAAGUCACUUGAGUUCAAUCAUAUGAGGAACUUCGAGGAUGGCACUUGAGUAGGAGAGAUUCGGUCAUAAGGGCUCGGUAAGCACCACCACCUUUUGUGUGGGGAUGCAUGUACGUUUACUCUCACGAUACAUUGUCAAUGACUGUCCAUAAACAGACCAAAGUGAAAGGUCUUGUAAAGAUGCACUCAUGGCUGCAACUGUUAGGUGUAAACAAAGUCCUCUAUCGACUAGGAACGAGAAUGAUCAUGGGUAUAUAAAUAUGAACAAUUAUCUUCAUUGGUAUAACAUACCAUUUAGGUGGUUCAAGAGGCAAAGUCACGAAGGUUUAUGUCUAAAGUGGAUAAUGUUAUACCAAUGUAGAGGUUUUAUUGACUUUCUUAUGCAAUAUCAGGUUGGUUUAA